GUAGGUUUUACGUUAUCGUAGGCCAGUCUGUUAUACACUUAAGAAUGUUUAGAGAAAAACGAUGCUCUUAAAAUGAGAUCAAUGUUUGUUUCGUUCAAUGAACUUCGGUAAUUUCAAGGUUGCUUCGUUGCACACAAUAUUAGUAAAAAAAACUACUUGGAACCGAACUAUAAGUUGCAUAAUAGUGUUUAGAAAAGAUAGUUGCGGUAACUAGAGGUUAUAGGUAAAGGAUACUACUACUAUAUAAUACCAAAAUAUAUUCUUGGUCAAGGUUAUAAUGUGUUUAACAGAUGGUUCAAGGAAGAAAAUAUUAUAAAAGUGCAAUAUCUUAAAAGAGAAAGAUCUUUGCAUUCAAUAUUCCCACACAUCCUUAUCUCGAAAGCCAUCUUUUGAACAUCUUUCUUUAUUUGAACUGAAAAUAUUCAGUUAUGAUAAUCUUCCCUAGUUUCGAGCUCAAUUUUUCUGCUAUUUUUGAUGUUAUGUUUUUUUGUAAUAUUUGUAAAUGUUUCUGCUGCCAUGUAAUGCACGUUUGAUAAAUAAUUUCAUAGAAUGUCAAACUUGUGUCUUAUUAUCAAUUCAUUUGAGUGACGAAAAAUAU